GACGAACGCUGGCGGCGUGCUUAACACAUGCAAGUCGAACGGAAAGGCCCUGCUUUUGUGGGGUGCUCGAGUGGCGAACGGGUGAGUAACACGUGAGUAACCUGCCCUUGACUUUGGGAUAACUUCAGGAAAUUGGGGCUAAUACCGGAUAGGAGCUCCUGCUGCAUGGUGGGGGUUGGAAAGUUUCGGCGGUUGGGGAUGGACUCGCGGCUUAUCAGCUUGUUGGUGGGGUAGCGGCUUACCAAGGCUUUGACGGGUAGCCGGCCUGAGAGGGUGACCGGCCACAUUGGGACUGAGAUACGGCCCAGACUCCUACGGGAGGCAGCAGUGGGGAAUAUUGCACAAUGGGCGGAAGCCUGAUGCAGCAACGCCGCGUGCGGGAUGACGGCCUUCGGGUUGUAAACCGCUUUCGCCUGUGACGAAGCGUGAGUGACGGUAAUGGGUAAAGAAGCACCGGCUAACUACGUG
rnacentral:rRNA from 1 species